AUAAUACUCCAUAGAUCAUGGGAUCUGGAAUGACCCAUGGUUGAAAGUUCCGGCGCUUAAGGAUCGCUCUGCGGCUUAUCAGGUUGUAGUGGGUGUAACGUACCCCCUAGCCAGUGACGAGUAUGGGCCUUGAGAGAGGGAGCCCAGAGUUGGAUUCUGAGACACGAAUCCAGGCCCUACGGGGCGCAGCAGUCGCGAAAACUUCACACUGGGGGCAACCCCGAUGAGGGAAUUCCUAGUGCUAGGACAUUUGUUCUAGCUUUUCUCUAGCGUAGAUAACUAGAGGAAUAAGGGCUGGGUAAGACGGGUGCCAGCCGCCGCGGUAAUACCUGCAGCCCAAGUGGUGGUCGAUUUUAUUGAGUCUAAAGCGUUCGUAGCCGGUUUGAUAAAUCCUUGGGUAAAUCGGGAAGCUUAACUUUCCGACUUCCGAGGAGACUGUCAAACUUGGGACCGGGAGAGGCUAGAGGUACUUCUGGGGUAGGGGUAAAAUCCUGUAAUCCUAGAAGGACCACCGGUGGCGAAGGCGUCUAGCUAGAACGGAUCCGACGGUGAGGGACGAAGCCCUGGGUCGCAAACGGGAUUAAAUACCCCGGUAGUCCAGGUGUAAACGCUGCCGACUUGGUGU
rnacentral:rRNA from 1 species